ACAAACAAACCCCCCAAAAAAACAGAAGAAAGUUGUUUUACACACGUAUUGCUUUGCUCAUGUACUGCUUUACAUACAUCAUACAUCGACUUAAAAAACUAAAACUAGAAAAACUACUCUUUUUUCAAAAAGUCUAAAUACAUGAAAAACACCUUAUAACAUACCGUAAUCCGAUCCCUGUUGCUGUUGGGUACCAUCCGAUGAAGUGCUGGCCGUGGUAUGCAUAAUUCAGGUUCUGUCUAUCUAAUUGUCUGUAGACCGAUAAACUCAGGCUGUGUGCUGACCCAUAAGCAUCUAAGCAGAAAUAUAAUUUCUUUGUCUUUUUUUUUCUUCAUCCUCUCCACACCUGUUCAAACCGUAUUUCUUGUUUUGUGAUUUAAUGAAUUAUCUGGUACAUGUGUUUAGCCGCAUAGCGAUCUGUUUGUGACAGACAUCAGGACGCCAGUACAAUCAGGGGAGAUGUCAGACCGGUGACACAGGAGGAAGGGCGAGUAACCUGAAACAAGAGGAGAGUUCAUUUUCAACAAAAAAUAGGAAAUUCGCAAGACAAAACCCCAAGACAGGACAUCCCUCACCACAGUGUGACACUUCAAGGGACAGGCCAGAUAAUCACUCAGAUGUAUGACCAUGUCAGAACCUUCAAACAAAAGCUGCAGUUGCUUAGCAGACAUCUGUCAACAGAUGCAGUCAGUGAGGAGCUUCAAAUGGAACUUUUGGAACUUCAGUCUGAUUCCAACAUCUGUAGCAAGUUCAGAGAGCUUCCCUUACCGGACUUCUACAGAUGUGUUCCUGCACACAGAUAUGGCAAGAUCCACAAACAUGCACAGGUGAUGUUGUCCCUCUUUGGAAGUACCUAUGUCUGUGAGCAGGCUUUCAGCCUGAUGAAUCUCAAUGAGUCCAAACUGAGAAAUGCUUUAUCUGACUCUCACCUACAUGACAUUCUCACUCUGUCAGUUGGUCAGCUGGAGCCUGAUAUUGAAAAACCAAGGACAGGCUUCAUGUCUCGCGCUGACAGCCCCAAGUCAGGCACAGAGUGUGUAGGCCUAGGCCUCCAAUGUGUCACCUUGGAGUAUGUUCUGCUCUGUAUGAUAAAUAAUAAUUUCAACGUACAGUAAGUACUGUACACUGUAAGACCGAAUAGUAAAAAUUCAUUAAAAAGAAUAAGUUGUAUUAACUCAGGAAUUUAAAAAAGUUAAUUCACCUCUAAUCUUUUGAGUUAUUAGAACAUAUUUUCAUUUUUAAGUGCACAUAACACAAAAGAUUUAAUUCUGUUUUGUCACUGUAUUUAAAUCAUUUGACUGACUGGUCCUUUAGUCUGUGUGACGUCACUUCCGCUGAACGGUAAAUUCUGCCGAAGUAACGGCCCGCUUUGGAUCAGGGGACGUCAGCAGCAGUUUUGCUGGUCGUGAAUGUGGACAUGUGAUGAAAAAAUAUAGUUUUCGUCUUUCAUGGUUGGACCUGUUCAUCUGUACUUUUUCUGAGUGCUCCUCUCUGGUGAGUUGAAUUAUUUUUCGUUUUGCCUUUGUGUUCAGCUAAUGAUUUGUUGUAUUUUUCACAUGAAAGCUGUUAAAUUAACCAUUUGCAUUCAAUAUUUUUUAAGCUAACGUUUUUUUCCUCUGUCGCACUGGCAUGACUUUUAACUUCAUGUGCUAAAGUAGUUUAAAAGUCGAAUAAAAUUGUAUUUAUUGCUUAUAAAUUUAUAACUAAAGUGGAAAGUUAGUGUGUUAUAAGUUCUUUGCUAAUUCCACAAUGAUAUUGGCAUGUUGAUAGCUGACUCAUAAGCAUCUUAUACAGACUUCAGAGGGUACAGGGAAAAAAACAGUUCCCUUUAUUCUUCAGAGCAAUGCUCUGUAACUAAAUAGUGACUAGCUUGUGACUUAUUUUUGUUCGUCUUUAGUUAUUUGUAUGAUUCUGUCUCUAAUAUUUUAUGUAAAUGUUCUCUCUUUUAGCCUAAACUGAGGAAGCAAGCUGUUCAACCGUGUCCACAACCUGGAAAUGGCAGCUCAAAAUCUCCUUCUUCAUGUGCAUACUUCGACCGACACGUCAGGAAGAUGACAUUACCUUCACGUCCAGAAUCUGUAGAUGAGCUGAAAACCAAGAUAAAAGACAGAUUGACAAAACGUCAAUCUGAAAAAGCAUUUCUAUGCUGAGCUGGAUCGACACGCUCCUCGUCUACAGAGUUUGUUUAGAAAAAAAGCUGCGCGCACAGGGAAAAUAGUUGAAGCUCUUGAUCGGCUCUUCAGCACUUGUGAUCUUAAGGAACAAGUUGACAUCCAUGGAAGACGUUCAGUUGUUCUUCGCGCUCUUCCUCAUUAUCUGUGCGACGAUGACUCCAAGUUCCCGAAGACAUGGGAUCCUGUGGAGUCCCCAGAAGUGGAUGCUGAUGACGUACCAGUGGGUAUCGCAUUGAUCUCUUCCAACUCAACUGAUGCCACUUUUCUUCUCCCAGAAAGGGUUGCAGUGAUCAUUGAGGGUAAUUUAGUGAUCGACUUGCCUACAUUGGCUGAUGGGUACAUUGUCCUUUUUGGACUGAUGUAUGCGCUACAUUUACAGUAUCCUAAAGAAUUGGCCAAUACUUUUGACUUCAUCCAGAAAGUCUUGAUGGGCCUGGAAGAUGGAAAGUUCAAGCCCAGAGUGUUGAGCCUUAAAAAUGACCUUUUGGCAGUGGAGUAAUCUUGGUCUUGCAAAGUUGAUGCACUUGAGCAGCAUAUUAUAGGCAUAGGCAACUAAAAGAACUUAUUGUUUUGACUGUGUUAUUGUUCACCUGCAAGUUGGACAAGUUUUAAAUUGUAAAUUUUGUAUUAGCAUGGCUAUGGUGUUGACAAAAUUGUGCCAUGCAUUUGUAGGUGUAUUUGGUCUACACUAAGUAAAGAAUGUCCUCAGGCCAUUUCCUUUGGACUUUGCACAGUUUUUGUAAACACUGUUUUGUAAGGCUGUUUGUUCUUACUGAAAGGAAGGAAGUUACUGAAGUAUACAAUACACUAUGCAAUAUGAAUGCUUUUUCUGUAUGAUAAUGUGAUGUUGUACUUCACCAAUCCAUGAAAACACAGCCAUAAUGGGUUUGUUUGUUUGUUUGUUUUUUUGUUUUUAUGGCCAUGUUUAUCAGUAAAAUACACUGAAAAAAAAAUUCUGUU